GACGUAGGGGGCGAGCGUUGUCCGGAAUCAUUGGGCGUAAAGAGCGCGUAGGCGGCCCGGAAAGUGGGGUGUGAAAACCCGAGGCUCAACCUCGGGCGUGCACUCCAAACUCCCGGGCUCGAGGCAGGUAGGGGAGAUCGGAAUUCCUGGUGUAGCGGUGAAAUUCGUAGAUAUUGGGAAGAACACCGGUGGCGAAGGCGGCGACCUGGUCCUUGACUGACGCUGAGGCGCGAAAGCGUGGGGAGCAAGCAGG
rnacentral:rRNA from 1 species